rnacentral:rRNA from 1 species
AGUGAACGCUGGCGGUAGGCCUAACACAUGCAAGUCGAACGGCAGCACAGUAAGAGCUUGCUCUUACGGGUGGCGAGUGGCGGACGGGUGAGGAAUACAUCGGAAUCUACUUUUUCGUGGGGGAUAACGUAGGGAAACUUACGCUAAUACCGCAUACGACCUACGGGUGAAAGCAGGGGAUCUUCGGACCUUGCGCGAUUGAAUGAGCCGAUGUCGGAUUAGCUAGUUGGCGGGGUAAAGGCCCACCAAGGCGACGAUCCGUAGCUGGUCUGAGAGGAUGAUCAGCCACGCUGGAACUGAGACACGGUCCAGACUCCUACGGGAGGCAGCAGUGGGGAAUAUUGGACAAUGGGCGCAGGCCUGAUCCAGCCAUACCGCGUGGGUGAAGAAGGCCUUCGGGUUGUAAAGCCCUUUUGUUGGGAAAGAAAAGCAGCAGGUUAAUACCCCGCUGUUCUGACGGUACCCAAAGAAUAAGCACCGGCUAACUUCGUG